AAAACAUGGUGAGGGAAUUUCCUAAGCAUUUUCUUAAAUCGGUCCCAACUUUCAUAAAUCGAUUUUUCUUCAAACUGAGUAAAAGAAGAGAAAUCAUUUCUAUGUUU